UACCAGCACCCCGAGUGGUCGGGACGAUUAUUGGGCCUAAAGCAUCCGUAGCCGGUUCUACAAGUCUUCCGUUAAAUCCACCUGCUUAACAGAUGGGCUGCGGAGGAUACUAUAGAGCUAGGAGGCGGGAGAGGCAAGCGGUACUUAGUGGGUAGGGUAAAAUCCGUUGAUCCAUUGAAGACCACCAGUGGCGAAGGCGGCUUGCCAGAACGCACUCGACGGUGAGGGA
rnacentral:rRNA from 1 species